UACGAAUCUACGUACAAUGAAUCCGCAAAGACGGACCGCAUCAUAUACUGUCCUAACCGAUAAUAUCGUAUGCAUUUAUACAAUUAUUUUUAAGAAUUUCCAAAAAUUUUCAAUCUAACCAUCUCGCUUUCCCUCUCCCCCUCCCUUGAUCUCCGACCUUAAUUCACUUCCUAUUCCGAUGGAGUCCAAGAUUUCGACUCCUAGAAGACGACCGCCACUGCAAACACACCAGCCACCAAUAGAUUAGCCAUGGACCUCUUCUCUGACCUACUAGAUGCCCACCCGCUCUGGUUUAAGCCUACUCUCUUUCACUCGCAGAAUUUCGAUUCUGAAUCAUUCUGAGCUUCGAAUUUCAUUCCAUUCCACACUCUUUGAUUCGACCUCCAGAGCCAAUACCCGUGCCAUAACUCAAGGAGAAGAUCCAGCAGUUCAGGGGGUUCGGUGGAGUGCGAGCUUGGGGCUUUGAAGAAUGGUUUGAUAUACAGAUCGGAGGCUGCCUCUGCCAGAGAGGGUUGGAGCUUUUGCUCGAUACGUUUCACGUGGUCUCUAAGGGAGAAGGUGAUAGCCUGAAAACAAAACAAAUUUGAUGUUGGAAGGCAAGGGCUAUGUCAACACAUUUCUAUCAUGGAAUGACACUGCAGGCUCAAGGGGAGGACAUUUAAUAGUUUUUCGGUUGACAUCCUAGCUUCUAACUUCAUUGCCUGCAAUCUUAGCUAUCAGAACACAGCUCCUCCUCCAGUCCUGGAGUAGAGGAUGCUCAAGCAAUAGCCCUUCAAGUUUAUGGAGAUAAAGCUGCAUUUUAUGGAUGUGGUAUGCAUGGUGCACAAGACACACUUUUAUAUAGGAGUGGAAGGCACCACGUUGAAGAUUGCUUCAUUCAAGGCUCCAUGGAUUUCAUCUUUGGAGAUGGAAGAUCACUAUAUCAGUCUUGGCAUGAAAGAUUACUGGGGACCUUUAAAGGCUUUGGCGCAGCCACUAUUAUAAAUGGUGUUGAUGAUAUACUGCUCUCUAGAUAUUUAGGCUACGGCAUUGCCGGUGCAGCAUGGGCAAAAAUGGUAUCACAAGUAUCGUGGAUAAACUUUAGAAUAUUAUAUUAUUAAGCUUUGGCUUUUGGUAGAAUAUUUGUUUUGUGUUCUAAAGACACAUCCAAAUAAAAUCUUUAAUCACUUUUGUCUGUUUUGCAUUGCCAUUAACAAACUUAAGUUUUGGUUGUAGCAGGAUAUAUGAUGAUUAACGAUCUAAACAAGAAAGAAUACAAUGCUUUUGCCAUCUCUAUUCCUUCACCCAAAGAACUUUUGACAAUACAUGAGCUUGCUGCUCCUGUAUUUGUAACAAUGAUAUCAAAGGUCACAUUUUGCUCAAUUAUAUUGAUACUUCUCGUCUCUUUUGAUUAAUUUUAUGCAUCUGAGACAUUUCAAUUUUUAGGUGGCUUUUUACUCUGUAUUUACGUAUGUUGCUACAUCCAUGGGCACCCACACCAUGGCUGCUCAUCAGGUUUCUUUCUCACGGUUAAAAUUGUUUGUUUCAUUUCUCUGCUGAGACUUAUUUAUGUAGAAAACUUAUGGGCAUUUUCAUUUAUGAAUAACCAUUUCCCCUAGGCCAUGGUUCAAACAUUAUGCAUGUGUACACUAUGUGGUGAACCUCUCUCUCAGACAGCACAAUCAUUUAUGCCCAAAUUGUUAUAUCGAGUCAACUGUAGUUUGGAAAAGGUUUGUAAUUCUUAAAGUCUGUUGUUGGUCUUGGUUGUAUCAGUUGCUCCCUCGCUAAGUUGAAACCAAAAUGGUUUCUUGUGUUUUCUGUUGCGAGAAAUAUGUUACGUAGAAUUCUCCGUUCUAAAUCCUUAAUAUUCAUGGAUAUGUAACACCUUGACAGAUCUAUAUCUACACUUCUUUUACCAAAACUAUUUUGAAAACUUUAAGAUGUUAUACAGGCCAGAAUGCUGCUCAAGUAAAAGAGCUGGUAAGUUAAUUUGGAUGACAGUCUGAUAGAAUAAACUAGUAAACCAACAACACAUGUUCCUUUCCACACAAAAUUUCUUGGUUAUGUUUGAGAUCGCUUAAAUGGAUAUCAAUUUAUUAGGUACAUUACAUAAAAAGCUAGUUAGGAUGGCAUACUUGUAUCAUUUUAAUAAAAAUUGGUCUUAUCAUUGCUAUUAAAGCAACCACCCUGACCCUUGAUUAAUUUUGAUUAGAUAGUAUAAUUGUAUCAUAUCUAGAUAUAUGGCGGCUUUUAGCUAUUUGUUUGGUUUGCAUUACAGAUGAAAAGAAAGUUUUUAUUUUUUUUUAUUAUCUUUUCUUCUAGAUUGUUGAAAGCAAGUGCUUCCUAUUCAUUAAAAUUUUGCAAAGAUCCUAUUUCAAUAUAAAAGACAAUAAGGUAAAUGCCUAAGCUGACUUUAUACUUCAGUUUUUUUCCAAAUGCCUUGAAAAGAGUUAAGUUCAGUAAAACAUUUGUCCUCCUUUGUUAUGCCAGUUUGCAGAAAAAAAGUUAAAAGUUUUCAUUUCUUGCCCUAAUUUUUAAUUGGAAAAUUUUCAUCUAAGAAUUGUUCUUAUUGCAUUUGAAAGAUUGUUCUCAAUAUUGAUGGCAUUUUAUACUUUAAUAUUGUGAUUAUUAAUGAUUCCCAUAUACUUUUCUCUUUGCUAAUUAAAUUAGAUUUCUACUGAAUGAUUCAUUUUUUUUUUUUUUUUUAAAUAUAGGAUCCUUGGAAAAUGUACUAAUAGACUGCAUUGAAAGAUGGAGAUUGUAAGGAUUUAGUCGGUAUAGGCAACCAUCUUGUAUAUAUGUUUUUUUCCCCUAGAAUUACAAACUGUAUCUGUUUAUAUUGUCCUUUUAAUGUAAUCUUAUUGUAUCUGAUGUACAUUAUAUAGUUUUAGUUGGUGUUUAAUGAAUUUUGUGUACAGGAUAACCGUUUAAUAAAGUAUUAUUUUUGUAUGUUAA